GUCUGCAAAAUCAAGGUUUUAUUUCAGACUUGCACGCUACAUCUCUGCACGUUUCUUUUGUAGUCUGGAAAAUCAAGGUUUCAUUUCAGAAUUGCAGAACAAUGCAAUCUAUUUUCCCAUGUAUCAUGGUAUCUUGGUAUUAGUGGUGAUUCUGGGGUUUUAAAUCAGAACCAUAAGCAUAACUGUUCGAGUUAUUGUCAGUUACUUUUCUUGGACAGAUCAUAAUGUCACCUUCCAGCCAUAAUCCAUUUCAGAACACAACCAACAGGAAAGAACAAGGUAAUUAACAAGAAUCUAAAUAUGCCAUAUAUGCAACAGCAAUGUGGGCAAUCUAAAAACCGUGGGCAAUUACGCAACUGAAGAUCCUAAAGAAGUCAAAAAACAGAGGGAUAGGGAGUGGUAGGCAAAUAUAAAGAUGAGAUUUCCAAGUGCCAGCGACAGGUACCGGAGUUUAAAAAACAGUCAACCCACCUGGUGAAUUUUGAAAACACCUUCUGUGAUACUCCAGCUACUGGACAAACUCGAAGUCACCCAACAGCAGUACAGAGCACCAGCAGGAGGUCAUGUGUUCUAAACUCCCAACAUACGGCUGUCAUGUUUUUGUAUUGCAAAUGUAUAUACGGAAUGCUGAUUUUUUGCAUAAAAUGUAAUUGUAGGUAUGGAUCUAAUUGUUCAGCAAAGCGGGGCAUCUCUGGGGACUACUAUAGCCAGUCGUCACAACUAUUAGGUGGGGUCUCUUUGGUCGGUGUGGACAAUGAGUCCAAAGCUUGAAGGACUAGAGAAUAUAUUCAAACUUUCAUCGCUUCACAUGGAACUAAAAUUUGAUGAGUGGAAGGACCUAACCAUCACCACAUAGCCCAGGGAAGAGUGAAUUAAGAGCAACCUGCAGACAGAUGGAACUCAGGUGCGAGGUCGGACAACAACCAAUCGAGCAGAACUGCGUCAGGGGGAGGGGAGAUUGCCAGUCACGGGCAACGUGGGAAGGGGUGUCCACCAGGAGUAUGCCGUACUUGCGACGCCCAGGAAGGCUCGCGACACAGCCAACCCUCGCAGGUGUCCCGCGAGAGGAGGAGGUCGGCGGUGCGGAGCCAUCUAACACGCGUGUGGUGGCCGUGGCCGCGCCUCCGUCUCCAUCGGCCGGUCAGCGCCUAGCACUGGGUUGCCUUGCGGAAGUGGCGGGAAGGGGGUUGUUGUCGCGGAUGUGGCGGAGGAGGGGAGCCGUCCUCCCGCCGGCGGUGGGGAUGGAGAUGCAAGUGAGGGGGCGUCCGACGACCAUGACGAGAGAGAUAAGAGUGUGGAGUUGGGGCUAGCUAGAGAGUGGAGUUGGGUUCUUUGUGGAGUAAUAAAGGGGAUAUUUUGUCUCCCUCCUGAAAUCAUGAUAUUUGUUAUAUGUUGUAAUGUUAUUUAGAAAUAGGUUAAGUGCA